rnacentral:rRNA from 1 species
UACGGAGGGAGCUAGCGUUGUUCGGAAUUACUGGGCGUAAAGCGCACGUAGGCGGCUUUGUAAGUUAGAGGUGAAAGCCCGGGGCUCAACCCCGGAAUUGCCUUUAAGACUGCAUCGCUUGAAUCCAGGAGAGGUGAGUGGAAUUCCGAGUGUAGAGGUGAAAUUCGUAGAUAUCGGUAAGAACACCAGUGGCGAAGGCGGCUCACUGGACUGGUAUUGACGCUGAGGUGCGAAAGCGUGGGAGCAACAGGAUUAGAACCCGAGG